ACACACAUCACAACUUAAUCAGUUAUUGUAAAAAAUAUAAUAAUUCGGUGGGGCUAAUAAUUCUGACUUCAACUGUGCAUGUAUACAUAUAUAUAUAUAUAUAUAUAUAGUUAAUAACUUUGACAUGGUGUCUUUGUUAUUGCAUCUUUCUACAAUAUGUUUAUAUUGUGUGUGUGUAUAUACUUUCUCUCUCUCUUCUCUAUUAUAUGUAUAUUUGAUAUUUUUGGUAUUUAUGUUAUGGAGUGUUCAGUGUAAAACCAGAGGUCUUUUAUUUUGAAUUAAUUACCAUUACGGAUAUAAACAGACACAGAAGAUCGCACAUGAUCACGGCGUCUCAGCUGUGCGGUCUGCUACGGACUAAAGGUUUAGCUUCUGGUUUGAUUGGAGAACAAGCUCUUACGGUGUUUGCCGUACGGUGCAAGGUGUACGGUGUUUGGCCUAUGGUAUAAGGUGUUUGAUGUUGACGACGGCGUCAGUGAAGUGAAUGCUGCACUGAAAUAAAUCAUGGGAAAACAC